CGUCAUUGCAUAAUCUCAAGCCUAGCUUGGUAUUGGGUUCUUCGUCCCUCGGGACGGGCCUCAAAGUUAGUGGCGGUGCCACCGAGCCUCAAGCGUAGCAGAAAUUCCUCGCUUUGGAGAGUCGGUUUUGGGUCACUAGCCUUACAACCCAACUUAAUAAGUUUGACCUCGGAUCAGGUAGGGAUACCCGCUGAACUUAA
rnacentral:misc_RNA from 1 species